CUAGAUUGGUGGGCUUCCAUCCCACGAAAUUUUAGUUAACAGCUAAAUACCCUAAGAACUGGCUUCAAUCUA
rnacentral:tRNA from 1 species